GAUGAACGCUGGCGGCGUGCCUAAUACAUGCAAGUCGAGCGAACAGACGAGGAGCUUGCUCCUCUGACGUUAGCGGCGGACGGGUGAGUAACACGUGGAUAACCUACCUAUAAGACUGGGAUAACUUCGGGAAACCGGAGCUAAUACCGGAUAAUAUAUUGAACCGCAUGGUUCAAUAGUGAAAGACGGUUUUGCUGUCACUUAUAGAUGGAUCCGCGCCGCAUUAGCUAGUUGGUAAGGUAACGGCUUACCAAGGCAACGAUGCGUAGCCUACCUGAGAGGGUGAUCGGCCACACUGGAACUGAGACACGGUCCAGACUCCUACGGGAGGCAGCAGUAGGGAAUCUUCCGCAAUGGGCGAAAGCCUGAUGGAGCAACGCCGCGUGAGUGAUGAAGGUCUUCGGAUCGUAAAACUCUGUUAUUAGGGAAGAACAAAUGUGUAAGUAACUAUGCACGUCUUGACGGUACCUAAUCAGAAAGCCACGGCUAACUACGUG
rnacentral:rRNA from 1 species